AUACGGAGGGUGCAAGCGUUGUUCGGAAUUACUGGGCGUAAAGCGCGCGUAGGUGGUCUGUUAUGUCAGAUGUGAAAGUCCACGGCUCAACCGUGGAAGUGCAUUUGAAACUGGCAGACUUGAGUACUGGAGGGGGUAGUGGAAUUCCCGGUGUAGAGGUGAAAUUCGUAGAUAUCGGGAGGAAUACCGGUGGCGAAGGCGACUACCUGGCCAGAUACUGACACUGAGGUGCGAAAGCGUGGGGGGCAAACAGGAUUAGAAACCCUAGUAGUCC
rnacentral:rRNA from 1 species